CAGAAGGUAGUUUAUUUAAAAAUCCCAGCUUUGGGAGCUGGGGAUGGGGGUUCGAGUCCCCCCUUUCUGA
rnacentral:tRNA from 1 species